rnacentral:rRNA from 1 species
AGCAGCCGCGGUAAUUCCAGCUCCAAUAGCGUAUAUUAAAGUUGUUGCAGUUAAAAAGCUCGUAGUUGAAUUUCGGGACUAAUAUGUCGGUCGUGCCUCGGUACGCACUGGCUUAUUGGUUUCUCCUUUCUGAAGAACCAUGAUGUCAUUUAUUUGGUGUCGUGGGGAAUCAGGACUGUUACUUUGAAAAAAUUAGAGUGUUUAAAGCAGGCUCACGCUUGAAUACAUUAGCAUGGAAUAAUGAAAUAGGACGUUUGAUUCUAUUUUGUUGGUUUCUAGGAUCGACGUAAUGAUUAAUAGGGAUAGUUGGGGGCAUUAGUAUUCAAUUGUCAGAGGUGAAAUUCUUGGAUUUAUUGAAGACUAACUACUGCGAAAGCAUUUGCCAAGGAUGUUUUCAUUAAUCAAGAACGAAAGUUAGGGGAUCGAAGACGAUCAGAUACCGUCGUAGUCUUAACCAUAAACUAUGCCGACUAGGGAUCGGAUGAUGUUAAUUUUUAAUGACUCAUUCGGCGCCUUACGG